GAUGAACGCUGGCGGCGUGCCUAAUACAUGCAAGUCGAGCGAACGGACGAGAAGCUUGCUUCUCUGAUGUUAGCGGCGGACGGGUGAGUAACACGUGGAUAACCUACCUAUAAGACUGGGAUAACUUCGGGAAACCGGAACUAAUACCGGAUGAUAUUUUGAACCGCAUGGUUCAAAAGUGAAAGACGGUCUUGCUGUCACUUAUAGAUGGAUCCGCGCUGCAUUAGCUAGUUGGUAAGGUAACGGCUUACCAAGGCAACGAUGCAUAGCCGACCUGAGAAGGGGAUCGGCCACACUGGAACUGAGCCACGGUCCAGACUCCUACGGGAGGCAGCAGUAGGGAAUCUUCCGCAAUGGGCGAAAGCCUGACGGAGCAACGCCGCGUGAGUGAUGAAGGUCUUCGGAUCGUAAAACUCUGUUAUUAGGGAAGAACAUAUGUGUAAGUAACUGUGCACAUCUUGACGGUACCUAAUCAGAAAGCCACGGCUAACUACGUG
rnacentral:rRNA from 1 species